rnacentral:lncRNA from 1 species
AGUUACACAUAUUUGGAAGAACACAUUAUUUCAGAAUUUUCUGAAGCCGUAUGGAUGGUCUCCAGUACAACAUUGAAAAGAAGUGGUGAGAGAGCUAACAUCCUUCCCUUGUUCCUGAGUUUAGAAAGAGUUUCUAGAUGCAAACACACACACACACAAAAGUGUGCUCCAGAAGUUGCUGCUGGGAAAGCCACUGCAUCCCUAGGUAGCCAAAUCAAAGCAUUUUGUCCUAAUGUGUCUGGAAUUGGUGGGUUCUUGGUCUCACUGACUUCAAGAAUGAAGCCGUGGACCCUCCUGGAAAGAUAGAAUAGAAGCUACAAGAUCUGCAGUGAUGCUUCCUGACACCCAAUUUACCGAUAAUAUAUGUUUGUGGCUGUGAUACACAGAAAAAUGGCAUCCAAGGAAAGUCCACCUCCUAAUCCUCAGAAGCUGUGAAUAUGUUACUUUAUAUUGCAAAAUGGACUCUGCAGAUGAGAUUAAGUUUCUGCCUGCGUGACAAUCACUCUGCUGAUGGCAACCAAACAUUGUCUUCUUCCUGGAGUCUCAGGGAAAAUGUGGCCUAGGAAGACCCUAGUUCUUUAGAUGGAAGGUGAAACUUCGAUACAUCACCACAACAGGAAAUAAUCUCAAGAAUUUGUAUUUACACAUCCUGGACAAAGAAGGUGUAAAUAAGUCUGGAAUGUAGUCCUCAGUCCCCAAGUCCUGGAAGGCAGGAGUCUGGAGUCAGGCAGAAAGAGAAAGCAGGCACAGUGACAACCAGCAGUACCCUUAAGGAUUAGAGUGCAGAUCUCUCUAAGCUCCCAGGCCAAUGC